rnacentral:rRNA from 1 species
AGAUUGAACGCUGGCGGCGUGCUUAACACAUGCAAGUCGAGCGGUAACGCGGGAGCAAUCCUGGCGACGAGCGGCGAACGGGUGAGUAAUGCUUGGGAAUCUGCCCAUUAGUGGGGAACAACCAGCCGAAAGGUUGGCUAAUACCGCAUACGCCCUACGGGGGAAAGCGGGGGAUCGUAAGACCUCGCGCUAAUGGAUGAGCCCAAGUCGGAUUAGCUUGUUGGUAGGGUAACGGCCUACCAAGGCGACAAUCCGUAGCUGGUCUGAGAGGACGACCAGCCACACUGGGACUGAGACACGGCCCAGACUCCUACGGGAGGCAGCAGUGGGGAAUAUUGGACAAUGGGGGAAACCCUGAUCCAGCGACGCCGCGUGUGUGAAGAAGGCCUGCGGGUUGUAAAGCACUUUUAGUGGGGAUGAAAGCCUAGGGUUAACACCUCUGGGUCUUGACCUAACCCACAGAAAAGCACCGGCUAACUCUGCGCCAGCAGCCGCGGU